rnacentral:lncRNA from 1 species
AUUGACUCUGUGAACCACACUGGGAGAUCUUGAUCCAUGUGAACUACAAAUGACGCUGCAUUCCUAGCGCUACGGGCUAAGCUAUCCGCCUUCUUGUUUUGCAUUCUUGGUACAUAGAUAAUCUCUGCUCGGAAAAAACUCUCUUUCAGGCUGUUUAUAUCCUCCAAAUAACUUGCAAACGCUGGCCAUUCUUCUGGUUCUGAAAC